rnacentral:rRNA from 1 species
AGAGUUUGAUCAUGGCUCAGAGCGAACGCUGGCGGCAGGCCUAACACAUGCAAGUCGAGCGGCCGUAGCAAUACGGCAGCGGCAGACGGGAGAGUAACACGUGGGAACGCGCCCUUCGGUUCGGAAUAACUCAGGGAAACUUGGGCUAAUACCGGAUACGCCCUUACGGGGAAAGAUUUAUUGCCGAAGGAACGGCCCGCGUCCGAUUAGCUAGUUGGUGAGGUAAUGGCUCACCAAGGCGACGAUCGGUAGCUGGUCUGAGAGGAUGACCAGCCUCACUGGGACUGAGACACGGCCCAGACUCCUACGGGAGGCAGCAGUGGGGAAUAUUGGACAAUGGGCGCAAGCCUGAUCCAGCCAUGCCGCGUGGAUGAUGAAGGCCUUAGGGUUGUAAAGUCCUUUCAGCGGGGAAGAUAAUGACGGUACCCGCAGAAGAAGCCCCGGCUAACUUCGUGCCAGCAGCCGCGGUAAUUC